rnacentral:rRNA from 1 species
UACGAAGGGGGGCUAGCGUUGCUCGGAAUUACUGGGCGUAAAGCGUGCGCAGGCGGUUUUGUAAGUCUGUCGUGAAAGCCCCGGGCUCAACCUGGGAAUUGCAUUCGAGACUGCGUAGCUAGGGUGCGGAAGAGGGAAGCGGAAUUUCCGGUGUAGCGGUGAAAUGCGUAGAUAUCGGAAGGAACACCAGUGGCGAAAGCG